rnacentral:rRNA from 1 species
GAGUUUGAUCGUGGCUCAGAUUGAACGCUGGCGGCAUGCCUUACACAUGCAAGUCGAACGGUAACAGGUCUUCGGAUGCUGACGAGUGGCGAACGGGUGAGUAAUACAUCGAAACGUGCCCGAUCGUGGGGGGAUAACGGAGCGAAAGCUUUGCUAAUACCGCAUACGAUCUACGGAUGAAAGCAGGGACCGCAAGGCCUUGCGCGGACGGAGCGGCCGAUGGCAGAUUAGGUAGUUGGUGGGAUAAAAGCUUACCAAGCCGACGAUCUGUAGCUGGUCUGAGAGGACGACCAGCCACACUGGGACUGAGACACGGCCCAGACUCCUACGGGAGGCAGCAGUGGGGAAUUUUGGACAAUGGGCGAAAGCCUGAUCCAGCCAUGCCGCGUGCAGGAUGAAGGCCUCGGUUGUAAC